GUCCUUCUACCUGUUGAACUUCAUCAAGUUCAAUCUUAGAGGCAACGGUUCCUUCACCAAGAAUUUUUUUUUUCUAAAAAGGUUGCCUUAAGACUGACAAACACCUUUUGUUCAUCAGCAUGGUAGAAAAAAUAUCUUUUAGUCUCUUUGGGGUACUCUAUGAAUGUGCAUUUGUCAGACCUAGGUUCAAGUUUAUCUGUAACUAACCGUUUGACAUAGGCCGGACACCCCC
rnacentral:lncRNA from 1 species